GAGCAAAACAAGUGACAGAUUGUGCAACCAGACUGCUGAAAAAGAAGAUUUAAUCCAUGGAACAGCAGCAAACAAGCCAGCUCUAAGCCACAUCCAGGUACUAGAAAAGCAAAUUACUUAUUGGCCGUGAUAGCUGAGGGCUUGGCGUGCUUCACAGAUCUCAGGCACAGUGGGAGGUAACAAAGCUUGGGAAGAAGGAUGUACCACUGAUGGCGGACAUGAAGAAUGGAGAAUUCACAGGCCACAAGGAUAUUUGGCAGAACCCCCAAGAUAAGGAAGAAACUAAUUAAGCCAACUCAGCAGCUGUGCUGAAAUCGGCUCUGACUGGGUAAAAGGUAAUUCUGGCAGGGGGAGAUCGUGACCACCGACCCACAGACCACCAACCCAAGAAACCCACUGACUCAAGAGAAAGACUGAGCAUACAGACUAGUUGCCUUGAGAAGCAAGAGAAUUAUUAAUAGAAGAUAGAACAGUAAUUAAUAAGAGACUAUGCAGCUUGUAGCAAAGGAACACUAAUUCCUCUGUUUGCUAAAAUAGAUAACUAGUAAAAAUUAUAAGAAUGUCUCCUUUCUAAACUAGACUAUGUGACUGUAUUUAGAGAGCUCCUGAAGCCAGCAACAAUUACACCAGCCCAAACAAGCCUCUGAAGGUUGGGGGUUAAAAAUGUUACAACUAACUUGAGAAAUUGUGUCCUCUGCGUGAACUUAGCAGGUUAUAAUGUGAAAACCACACCUCUGAAGCUGAGGCUCUCAGCCUGUGAAGAGCCCUACCCAGUGAACGUGCACAAUGAAUUUAGAAUGCACCUUUAAAUCAAGGGAAACGGAACACAAUCCCAAAAUGAAUGGGCUGUCUGGACAAGAGCCAUGAGGAGUGAAGUCAGCAGGACUGAGCAGUAACUGGAGGAAAGGAAACAGCAUUGUUGAAACUGAAGGGUUAUGAGUACGAAUUACAACGAGAUGCAGCUCAGAGCUUUGCCAGCUUGUUGUGACAGCUCCGUGCAGUGGGAACUUGACAGAAACAUCGGUCUUAGACAAGUAAUUCUGUUCAAGUAUCAGAGUUUCCUUUUUAGGCAUGGCAACACUCUGCUCGGAUUACACGCGUCUGUUGAGGAUCUACAGACUACCUUCCAAACAUCAGUCACAACAUCACAUGUGCAAUUGACCUGGAACCUGGUCACUAGUUCUGGAGGAGAAACGUACCUUGUG